rnacentral:rRNA from 1 species
UACGGAGGGUGCAAGCGUUAUCCGGAUUUACUGGGUUUAAAGGGUGCGCAGGCGGAUAUGUAAGUCAGUGGUGAAAUCUUCCCGCUUAACGGGAAAACUGCCAUUGAUACUAUAUAUCUUGAAUGCUGUGGAGGUAAGCAGAAUAUGUCAUGUAGCGGUGAAAUGCUUAGAGAUGACAUAGAAUACCUAUUGCGAAGGCAGCUUACUACGCAGAUAUUGACGCUCAUGCACGAAAGCGUGGGGAUCAAACAGGA